GUCGAGAAUCUUCCGCAAUGCGCGAAAGCGUGACGGAGCGACACCGCGUGAUGGAUGAAGUCCUUCGGGGCGUAAACAUCUUUUAUAAAGGAGGAAAUUUUUGACGUUACUUUAUGAAUAAGGGGCUCCCAAUCUCGUGCCAGCAGGAGCGGUAAUACGAGAGCCUCAAGCGUUAUCCGGAAUCAUUGGGCGUAAAGGGUGCGUAGGUGGUUUGAUUAGUCUCCCGUUAAAACUUCGAGCUUAACUCGAAAAGAGCGGGGGAAACGGUCAAACUAGAGUAUGUGAGAGGUGUGUGGAACUCAUGGUGUAGGGGUGAAAUCCGUUGAUAUCAUGGGGAACACCAAAAGCGAAGGCAGCACACUGGCACAUCACUGACACUGAGGCACGAAACCUAAGGUAGCGAAUGGGAUUAGAUACCCUAGUAGUCC
rnacentral:rRNA from 1 species